rnacentral:rRNA from 1 species
UACGAAGGGGGCUAGCGUUGCUCGGAAUCACUGGGCGUAAAGGGCGCGUAGGCGGCCAUUCAAGUCAGGGGUGAAAGCCCAAGGCUCAACCUUGGAAUUGCCUUUGAUACUGUUUGGCUUGAGACCGGAAGAGGUCGGCGGAACUGCGAGUGUAGAGGUGAAAUUCGUAGAUAUUCGCAAGAACACCAGUGGCGAAGGCGGCUUACUGGUCCGGUUCUGACGCUGAGGCGCGAAAACGUGGGGGAGCAAACAGGG